ACCAGUGUGGCUUAGUGGUUUGAGUGUUGGAUUAUGACUCUGAACACUAAAGUUCAAUUCCCCCUUUGGUC